rnacentral:rRNA from 1 species
CCUACGGGGGGCUGCAGUGGGGAAUAUUGGACAAUGGGCGAAAGCCUGAUCCAGCCAUGCCGCGUGUGUGAAGAAGGCCUUCGGGUUGUAAAGCACUUUCAGUGGGGAAGAAAGCCUUGGGUCUAAUACCCUCGAGGAAGGACAUCACCCACAGAAGAAGCACCGGCUAACUCCGUGCCAGCAGCCGCGGUAAUACGGAGGGUGCGAGCGUUAAUCGGAAUUACUGGGCGUAAAGCGCGCGUAGGCGGUCUGAUAAGCCGGUUGUGAAAGCCCCGGGCUCAACCUGGGAACGGCAUCCGGAACUGUCAGGCUAGAGUGCAGGAGAGGAAGGUAGAAUUCCCGGUGUAGCGGUGAAAUGCGUAGAGAUCGGGAAGAAUACCAGUGGCGAAGGCGGCCUUCUGGACUGACACUGACGCUGAGGUGCGAAAGCGUGGGUAGCAAACAGGAUUAGAUACCCCAGUAGUC